rnacentral:tRNA from 1 species
AGGGGUGUAGCUCAAUUGGUAGAGUAGCGGACUCCAAAUCCGUUGGUUGCGGGUUCGAUUCCUGCCGCCCCUGCCA